UAGGAUAGAGAUCAUUUGAAUAUGCACAUUGAGAUAGUUUAUAUCUUCUGGAGACAUCCAUGGUUUGUUAUGCAUUAAAAAUGCACACAGCUGAUUAGAAACUUUUCAGUUCUGUUUGUGUCCACAGGUCCCUAAGCCAAAUGGCAUUCUACUCAAUACACAGGUCUUAGGACAGUGUUGCAUAGAUCAGUCUUGGUGUUUUGCCAGCAGGCAAAAUUUUAAAUAGAAAGGCAGUCUUACCCUUACCUUAUAGGUUACAGAUUCUAAGCAAUCUAUACUAAACUGAGUGUACUUCGUGAUCUUUUAAAGAAAUUUACAAACUUGUAUGGUUUCCGUGUGGUUAGUCUCAAGGUUCAUAUGUUGCAGGAUUGUUCCCAGGGCAGUGGUAUUAAGAGGAACGGAACCUCUAUCAGGCUAGGCCUUGUGAAAGGGAGUCAGGGCAGGGCACAUUGCUUUUGGAAGAUAUUAAUGCCAUCUCAUGGAGAGUUAGUCCCUUGACAGUGAGGUGUUAUGAGAAGAGUGAGUUUAACCCCUGAAAUGUGUCUGUGUCAUCAUCUUACCACGUGACCUCUUCUUUUUAUACCCACUUGCUCACUCUAUAUUGGCUUCUGCCAUGUUGUGAUGUGGGCAGAAGCCCUCACCAAAAGCCAAGUAGGUGCAGGUGUUUACUCUUGAAUCUUAAGCUGUAAGAUAGAAGUAAAAACUCUCACAUUUUAAGCAAUGAGGUUAGGAAUUCAACAUACAAAUGUAGGAAGAGGGAGGGCACAAUUUAACUUAUAAUGCAUUAAAGGGCUUGCACUUUUUGAGAAGUGCCCCAAAAUCUCCAAUGCCAGUGUAACCAUUAAUUUAGCAAUGCAAUUAAUCCACUUAUCUUUCUGUUCUUAAAGUAACUUGUUCUAGCAGGGGUUCUAUACUUUGAUGUUUCCAAUACUGAGAAGAAUGAAUACAUCAACUGUGGUCUUAUUCAAAAUGUAUUUGAAUAUGUCACUGUCCUCUAUAACAUGUUAUGUUCUCUGCAACAUAAAGGAGCUUUAUUCCAUACAUUCAAAGGUAAAUCCAAAAGAAAUCACUCCUACCAUUUGGACAUACAAAGGUAAACCCCAAAAGAAAGACCAAGUGUGUCUUGAGUGACAUGAAGUUGACUCUACUGUGGUUGGGUCAGCCUUAUACAGUAGUUUCUCAUUCUCUCUGGGACCCCUGUGGUCUUGUUUACCACAUAAUUUGAGGAUGAAAUCUUAACUAUGGAGUUCAUGCUCUGAGAAUAUGUCCAAAGCAGGGAAAUAUUCCCUCAGACCAAUCUUUCAUUGAAAUAAGUUGAAUCAAUAUGUUUAACCUGGAUCUAAAUUUCAAUUCAAAAUUAAGAAAGAACUUCCACUUCAUUAGUAUUUCCCCCCAAUUUUUAUUGAAGAUUUCCAUGUGCACAGUGUUAAACUUUUAUAGUGUUAAAGUUAAAUCUUAGAUCUAAAAGCAACUCUUUCCAUCCAACUUUCCCUGUCCCCAAAUCAUUGCUACCCUGAAACAAUCACUCAGGACACACUUUGGCCUUUCUUUUGGGGUUUACCUCUGUAUAUCCAAACAAUAGGAGUGAUUUCAUUCAAGGUAUCUAGAAUGCUGGAUACCUUGUCUUUGAUUAUCAUCUUUUAUUGACUUCCUACUAGGUAUGAUGAAACUUGUGUGUUCUCUCUCUCUCUCUCUCUCUCUCUCUCUCUCUCUCUCUCUCUCUCUCUUUGGUACCAGGAAUCAAACUCAUGACCAUAUGCUUGCCAGGCAGGCACUUAUACUGCUGAGCCAAAUCCCUGGCCCAAUUGUGUUCUCUUUUAAGUUUCCUCUUCUUCUUCUAUCAUCUUUUUAACAUAGUUUGUGUUUGGCAGCUUUCUGUUGCUAAAACAAAAUACCUGAAAUAAUUAAUUUAUAAGCCAAUCAUUAAUUUGGCUCAUGAUUUUAAAGAUUUCAACCCUUGAUAUUAGGCCUAUGGUGAAACAGCACAUUGUGGCAGGAACACACAGUGGGGAAAGUCACCCACUCAAUUAGCUAAAAAGAAAGAGGGCAAUAGAGGGUUGGCUCCCAUAAUCCCUUGCAAGGGCAUAGCCCCAGUGAGUAAAACACCUAUACUGGGCCUCAUACCUUGAAGUUUUAACCCCUUCUCCAUAGCUAUCCUGAGAACACAGCCUUUAACAUAUGGGGAUACUUUUGGGUUUACUUAGGGUAUACUUAACUUUUGGGGAUACUUAGGAUUUAAAACACAGAGGACAACCAGACACCAGCCCCUUCCUGUUAGCACCAUUCACAGGCCACAGGGCAGAGAACAAGAAGUCAGCCACUUUCCAUGAUUCAGCACCAUGCACAGGUCAUGAGGAGGACAAUCAGAUGCCAGCCUCUCUUGGCAUGUGGGCUGGGAAACGAGAAGAGCUAGGGUUCCCUACACACACACACACACCGUGAGCAACCAGCUGAGCUGAAGAAACAUAGGCUGAGAUGAUAGCUAUUGAAAUAAAGUAUAACUGAAUGCUUGUAGUGUUUACUAUUUCAUUGAUUUUUGCAAGCCUAAAGGCAGAAAUCUGAUCAUCUAUAUAGAGGAUAACAAUACACAGUAUAGCCUCUAUGGGGGAUCUUGUUCUAUCAUAUUGUUGUAAUGUCCUGUAUUGUUUUGUUUGGUUUGGUUUCAUUUUGUUUCAUCUUGUGUGAUUUUAUUAUAUCUGUUUUUUAAUUUUUUUUAUUUUAAGGAGAUUAAGACAAAACAGGACAUAACAGAGAAGAUCAGAACAGAACAAUGUCUGAUGGUAUGGGCAGCCAUUCUGAAGACAAGAGGCAGCUGUUGCUGAUUUCCUAUAAUCUUGUUUUGAAAACUUGUAUCACUUACACUGUUUGGUUCUGAUUGGCUUUAUUCUGUUUUAUUUUGCUUGAUUUUAUUCUCUUUAAAAUAAAAAAAUUAUAAAAAGAUUUAAAA